UAAAAAACUUUUUUUCUGAGAAUGUAAAAACACGCAGAGUCAUAAGUGAUUGCGCGCAACGCAUUUUGGGAAAACUGGUAUAUAUAAAUGAACAGUACUCUUUAUUUAAUCUCUUUAUUUUCUCUAGAUUCUUUUACUGUAAAAGUGCUCAGUUUCAAAGAUGUUCUCUCCAGCUUUUCUGAUAAUGGCAACUCUCUUGUGCAGCGCCUUCGUCACAGACGUCGCUAGCCAGGACUCCGGCAAUGGAAGCGGCCAAGACACUCAGCCCUUGUUCUGCGUAAAGAUUCCGCAAUCAACAAUGAGCAAGAUGCAGUGCGGAAUGUCAGCAAUACAGAUGGCGAUGAAAAUGUUGUAGACCAUUCCAGAAAUAAUUGUGUCUCUCAUGAAAAAGUACAAUAAACAUGUAGUUCCUUAAUCGAUGGUGAAUGUCGUUAUAAUUUCUUCUGCUGCAUUAAAAAAAUAUAUUUCUAACUCUAUAA